rnacentral:rRNA from 1 species
UACGGGAGGCAGCAGUGGGGAAUAUUGCACAAUGGGCGAAAGCCUGAUGCAGCUAUGCCGCGUGUAUGAAGAAGGCCUUAGGGUUGUAAAGUACUUUCAUCGGGGAGGAAAAACAAAACUAAUAAUUUUAUUUCUUGACGUUACCCGAAAAAGAAGCACCGGCUAACUCCGUGCCAGCAGCCGCGGUAAUACGGAGGGUGCUAGCGUUAAUCAGAAUUACUGGGCGUAAAGAGCACGUAGGUGGUUUUUUUAAAGUCAGAUGUGAAAUCCCUGGGCUUAACCUGGAACUGCAUUUUGAAACUGAAAUACUAGAGUAUCGUAGAGGGAGGUAGAAUUCUAGGUGUAGCGGUGAAAUGCGUAGAUAUCUGGAGGAAUACCUGUGGCGAAAGCGGCCUCCUAAACGAAUACUGACACUGAGGUGCGAAAGCUGGGGAGCAAACAGGGAUUAGAUACC